rnacentral:rRNA from 1 species
GAUGAACGCUGGCGGCGUGCCUAAUACAUGCAAGUCGAGCGAACAGACGAGGAGCUUGCUCCUCUGACGUUAGCGGCGGACGGGUGAGUAACACGUGGAUAACCUACCUAUAAGACUGGGAUAACUUCGGGAAACCGGAGCUAAUACCGGAUAAUAUAUUGAACCGCAUGGGUCAAUAGUGAAAGACGGUUUUGCUGUCACUUAUAGAUGGAUCCGCGCCGCAUUAGCUAGUUGGUAAGGUAACGGCUUACCAAGGCAACGAUGCGUAGCCGACCUGAGAGGGUGAUCGGCUACACUGGAACUGAGACACGGUCCAGACUCCUACGGGAGGCAGCAGUAGGGAAUCUUCCGCAAUGGGCGAAAGCUUGACGGAGCAACGCCGCGUGAGUGAUGAAGGUCUUCGGAUCGUAAAACUCUGUUAUUAGGGAAGAACAAAUGUGUAAGUAACUAUGCACGUCUUGACGGUACCUAAUCAGAAAGCCACGGCUAACUACGUG